rnacentral:lncRNA from 1 species
GUUGGUGUUUUGAUUGGCUACAUUUUGCAAAAGCCAACCAGCCAGAUGCUGGACUGAGAUGCUGUAGCAUCCUCGUACAGCAUCCUGAUGCUCUGUUUUAAGUGCAGAAUUUUUUCUGUCAAUCUCGUUCAAGAUUUGCUUUAAAUAUUAAUUCCAGCACGUGUGUAUAUGCAAGACGAGACUUACUUCACAAGAAUUGUCUAAGUCGGCCUAAGGAAAGUUAUUAAAAACAAAAAUAUAAUUAUAUUAUAUUUUUGUUCGUUUUUUUUUUUUGGUACAACACAAAACAUAUUUUCAAUUUUAAUCUAGGUUUGGCCGCAGCUGUUGCAAGGGUUUUGGUCUGCAACCCUAGCUUGCCCAUCAAGACAUUGAAGACUAUAAAUAUGUGAAGCCUCAAGCUAUUAUUUUCAUGUAUUUUUUUAAACCGUGUAUUACUAAAGCGUGAGUUUUUUAAGGUUUAGUGUGUCCUUUUUGUGAGCCUUUCUUGUGUCGUUUUUGAUGCAAGUUUAGGACUGAGUUUGUGUUGUUUAUUGUAAGCUGCUCCUAAGCUUUGAAGCACGGAGUUAGCGUGUGUGAUUCACUCAUAAGCUUUUAAGCAAGAGUGUGGUCUAGUUUUUAGGAGAGUGUCUCCAUCCUUA